rnacentral:rRNA from 1 species
CAGCCGCCGCGGGAAUACGAAGGGUGCAAGCGUUAAUCGGAAUUACUGGGCGUAAAGGGUGCGUAGGCGGUUGUUUAGGUCUGUUGUGAAAUCCCCGGGCUCAACCUGGGAAUGGCAAUGGAAACUGGACGGCUAGAGUGUGUCAGAGGAUGGUGGAAUUCCCGGUGUAGCGGUGACAUGCGUAGAGAUCAGGAGGAAUACCGGUGGCGAAGGCGGCCCCCUGGACGAAGACUGACGCUCAGGUGCGAAAGCGUGGGGAGCAAACAGGAUUAGAUACCCCCGUAGUCCCUGUCUCUUAUAC